rnacentral:rRNA from 1 species
CCUACGGGAGGCAGCAGUGGGGAAUAUUGCACAAUGGGGGAAACCCUGAUGCAGCGACGCCGCGUGAGUGAAGAAGUAUUUCGGUAUGUAAAGCUCCAUCAGCAGGGAAGAAAAUGACGGUACCUGACUAAGAAGCCCCGGCUAACUACGUGCCAGCAGCCGCGGUAAUACGUAGGGGGCAAGCGUUAUCCGGAUUUACUGGGUGUAAAGGGGGCGUAGACGGCGGAACAAGUCAGAAGUGAAAACCCGGGGCUCAACCCUGGGAGUGCUUUUGAAACUGUUUGGCUGGAGUGCAGGAGAGGUAAGCGGAAGUCCUAGUGUAGCGGUGAAAUGCGUAGAUAUUAGGAGGAACACCAGUGGCGAAGGCGGCUUACUGGACUGUAACUGACGUUGAGGCUCGAAAGCGUGGGGAGCAAACAGGAUUAGAUACCCCGUAGUC